rnacentral:misc_RNA from 1 species
UUAAGUUCAGCGGGUAUUCCUACCUGAUCCGAGGUCAACCUAGUAAAAAAGUUGGGGGUUUAACGGCUUGGCCGCGCCGCGCUCCGCCUGCGAGAACAAGUGCUACUGCGCAGAGGAGGCUACAGCGAGACCGCCAAUCGUUUUAGGGGACGUCCACCGUGGCGGCGGGCGAUCCCCAACACCGGCAGCCCCCGCAAAGG